rnacentral:lncRNA from 1 species
UCUUUCUAUCUCUCUAACAUCAAUUGUUCUCUCUCUUCUAUCUCUCUAUCUCUCUAACAGAUCUACGUUUUGUGGCGGAAAAAGAUAAAUCUGAAAUUGGAAGUGGCGGCGCAUCACGAACAGGCGGUAGACGGGUCCGACGCCUCAUCCCCAAUUGGUGGUAGAGGGAGACGGUGGCUAUGGCGAUGUGUACCUAUUGUCAUCCCGAAGUGACGGUUGAGGGAGACGGUGGUAGUUGUGUUUAUAGAGGGAUGGCUAUGGUUGUACAUAGUGAGGCGGCGGUUGUGGAGAUGGCCGACCAUUUGGUGGUAUGAAGUUAGAUCGGCGAUGGAGGCGAUUUCAUCAAACUAGGGCUCUUUGAUGUCUAUGGAUUUUAGUAGAUUCCUAGGGUUUGGUGGAUAUGGGUUGGCGGCUGCUGGGAGUGUUCGCUGCUAGGGUUUGGCCGUGACUGCGUUGACGAUGGCUGAGAGGUGUUGGCGGCUAGGGUUUUGUAACAG